GCAAGUCGAGCGAACAGAUAAGGAGCUUGCUCCUUUGACGUUAGCGGCGGACGGGUGAGUAACACGUGGGUAACCUACCUAUAAGACUGGGAUAACUUCGGGAAACCGGAGCUAAUACCGGAUAACAUUUGGAACCGCAUGGUUCUAAAGUGAAAGAUGGUUUUGCUAUCACUUAUAGAUGGACCCGCGCCGUAUUAGCUAGUUGGUAAGGUAACGGCUUACCAAGGCGACGAUACGUAGCCGACCUGAGAGGGUGAUCGGCCACACUGGAACUGAGACACGGUCCAGACUCCUACGGGAGGCAGCAGUAGGGAAUCUUCCGCAAUGGGCGAAAGCCUGACGGAGCAACGCCGCGUGAGUGAUGAAGGGUUUCGGCUCGUAAAACUCUGUUAUUAGGGAAGAACAAACGUGUAAGUAACUGUGCACGUCUUGACGGUACCUAAUCAGAAAGCCACGGCUAACUACGUGCCAGCAGCCGCGGUAAUACGUAGGUGGCAAGCGUUAUCCGGAAUUAUUGGGCGUAAAGCGCGCGUAGGCGGUUUCUUAAGUCUGAUGUGAAAGCCCACGGCUCAACCGUGGAGGGUCAUUGGAAACUGGGAAACUUGAGUGCAGAAGAGGAAAGUGGAAUUCCAUGUGUAGCGGUGAAAUGCGCAGAGAUAUGGAGGAACACCAGUGGCGAAGGCGACUUUCUGGUCUGUAACUGACGCUGAUGUGCGAAAGCGUGG
rnacentral:rRNA from 1 species